rnacentral:rRNA from 1 species
GGGGAGUACGCCGGCAACGGUGAAACUCAAAGGAAUUGACGGGGGCCCGCACAAGCGGAGGAACAUGUGGUUUAAUUCGAUGAUACGCGAGGAACCUUACCCGGGCUCAAACGUUGCAGGAAGGGUGUCUGAAAGGAUGCCCGUCUACGGACCUGCGACGAGGUGCUGCAUGGUUGUCGUCAGCUCGUGCCGUGAGGUGUCGGCUUAAGUGCCAUAACGAGCGCAACCCCUACCGCCAGUUGCCAACAGGCAAAGCUGGGGACUCUGGCGGGACUGCCGGCGCAAGCUGCGAGGAAGGCGGGGAUGACGUCAAAUCAGCACGGCCCUUACGUCCGGGGCGACACACGUGUUACAAUGGCAGGUACAGCGGGAAGCCACCUGGCGACAGGGAGCGGAACCCGAAAGCCUGUCUCAGUUCGGAUUGGAGUCUGCAACCCGACUCCAUGAAGCUGGAUUCGCUAGUAAUCGCGCAUCAGCCACGGCGCGGUGAAUACGUUCCCGGGCCUUGUACACACCGCCCGUCAAGCCAUGGGAGUCGGGAGUGCCUGAAGUGCGUGAGCGCGAGCAGCGCCCUAGGGCAAAACCGAUGACUGGGGCUAAGUCGUAACAAGGUAACCGU